GGGGGUAUAGUUCAACGGCAGAACGCUGGUCUCCAAAACCAGUAAUCUAGGUUCGAAUCCUAGUACCCCCG
rnacentral:tRNA from 1 species